rnacentral:rRNA from 1 species
GACGUAGGAGGCGAGCGUUAUUCGGAUUCACUGGGCGUAAAGGGUGCGCAGGCGGCCAAGUGUGUCAGGUGUGAAAUCCCGAGGCUUAACCUCGGAACUGCGCCUGAAACUACUUGGCUAGAGUACUGGAGAGGGUAACGGAAUUCACGGUGUAGCAGUGAAAUGCGUAGAUAUCGUGAGGAACACCAGAGGCGAAGGCGGUUACCUGGACAGUUACUGACGCUCAGGCACGAAAGCGUGGGGAGCAAAAGGG